rnacentral:rRNA from 1 species
UACGAAGGGAGCUAGCGUUGUUCGGAAUCACUGGGCGUAAAGCGCGCGUAGGCGGCUUUGCAAGUCGGGUGUGAAAUCCCCAGGCUUAACCUGGGAACUGCAUUCGAGACUGCAUUGCUAGAGUAUGGGAGAGGGAAGUGGAAUUUCCGGUGUAGCGGUGAAAUGCGUAGAUAUCGGAAGGAACACCAGUAGCGAAGGCGACACUCUGGGCCGGUACUGACGCUGAGGAGCGAAAGCGUGGGGAGCAAACAGG